AUUCAAAUAGUUUAAUAAAAAAUUUUAGUUUGUGGGACUAAAGAUAUAUUCUUUAUUUUGGAUA
rnacentral:tRNA from 1 species